UACGAAGGGGGCUAGCGUUGCUCGGAAUCACUGGGCGUAAAGCGCACGUAGGCGGCUUGUUAAGUCAGGGGUGAAAUCCUGGAGCUCAACUCCAGAACUGCCUUUGAUACUGGCGAGCUUGAGUUCGGGAGAGGUGAGUGGAACUGCGAGUGUAGAGGUGAAAUUCGUAGAUAUUCGCAGGAACACCAGUGGCGAAGGCGGCUCACUGGCCCGAUACUGACGCUGAGGUGCGAAAGCGUGGGGAGCAAACAGG
rnacentral:rRNA from 1 species